GAUGAACGCUGGCGGCGUGCCUAAUACAUGCAAGUCGAGCGAAUGGAUUAAGAGCUUGCUCUUAUGAAGUUAGCGGCGGACGGGUGAGUAACACGUGGGUAACCUGCCCAUAAGACUAGGAUAACUCCGGGAAACCGGGGCUAAUACCGGAUAACAUUUUGAACCGCAUGGUUCGAAAUUGAAAGGCGGCUUCGGCUGUCACUUAUGCAUGGACCCGCGUCGCAUUAGCUAGUUGGUAAGGUAACGGCUCACCAAGGCAACGAUGCGUAGCCGACCUGAGAGGGUGAUCGGCCACACGGGGACUGAGACACGGCCCAGACUCCUACGGGAGGCAGCAGUAGGGAAUCUUCCGCAAUGGACGAAAGUCUGACGGAGCAACGCCGCGUGAGUGAUGAAGGCUUUCGGGUCGUAAAACUCUGUUGUUAGGGAAGAGCAAGUGCUAGUCGAAUAAGCUGGCACCUUGACGGUACCUAACCAGAAAGCCACGGCUAACUACGUGCCAGCAGCCGCCGUAA
rnacentral:rRNA from 1 species